CAACCACUAAUCCAUGGGCGGUAUAACUCCGUGUUUCUAAGGUAGUUCUUAGAUCAUGUUGCACCAUUUCAUUCUCUUAGUUCAGCUUCAUGUAAUAUGCUAGCCUUUCCUCUCUAGUGAUAGUGUAAUCUAGAAUUUACAAUCUUUUUUUGCUUAAAUUGUUAGCAUGAUUUUAGGGAUUACAUAUCAACCUAAUAACAAUUUUUUUGUUAACAUGAUCCCAA
rnacentral:lncRNA from 1 species